rnacentral:rRNA from 1 species
UACGUAGGCAGCAAGCGUUGUUCGGAAUUACUGGGCGUAAAGAGUGUGUAGGCGGUGCUCUAAGUCUGUCGUGAAAUCUCCCGGCUUAACUGGGAGGGUGCGGCGGAAACUGGAAUGCUAGAGGGUGGGAGAGGAAAGCGGAAUUCCUGGUGUAGCGGUGAAAUGCGUAGAUAUCUGGAGGAACACCGGUGGCGAAGGCGGCAUCCUGGACCGACACUGACACUGAGGAGCGAAAGCCAGGGGAGCAAACGGG